GGCGGAGGGUGCAAGCGUUGUUCGGAACUACUGGGCGUAAAGCGCACGUAGGCGGCGCAGCAAGUCAGGGGUGAAAUCCCGGGGCUCAACCCCGGAACUGCCUCUGAAACUGCAGUGCUAGAAUCUUGGAGAGGCGAGUGGAAUUCCGAGUGUAGAGGUGAAAUUCGUAGAUAUUCGGAAGAACACCAGUGGCGAAGGCGGCUCACUGGCCCGGUACUGACGCUGAGGUGCGAAAGCGUGGGGAGCAAACAGG
rnacentral:rRNA from 1 species